GAUGAACGCUGGCGGCGUGCCUAAUACAUGCAAGUCGAGCGAACAGACGAGGAGCUUGCUCCUCUGACGUUAGCGGCGGACGGGUGAGUAACACGUGGAUAACCUACCUAUAAGACUGGGAUAACUUCGGGAAACCGGAGCUAAUACCGGAUAAUAUGUUGAAUCGCAUGGUUCAACAGUGAAAGACGGUCUUGCUGUCACUUAUAGAUGGAUCCGCGCCGCAUUAGCUAGUUGGUAAGGUAACAGCUUACCAAGGCAACGAUGCGUAGCCAACCUGAGAGGGUGAUCGGCCACACUGGAACUGAGACACGGUCCAGACUCCUGCGGGAGGCAGCAGUAGGGAAUCUUCCGCAAUGGGCGAAAGCCUGACGGAGCAACGCCGCGUGAGUGAAGAAGGUCUUCGGAUCGUAAAACUCUGUUAUUAGGGAAGAACAAAUGUGUAAGUAACUAUGCACAUCUUGACGGUACCUAAUCAGAAAGCCACGGCUAACUACGUG
rnacentral:rRNA from 1 species